AUUGAACGCUGGCGGCAUGCUUUACACAUGCAAGUCGAACGGCAGCGCGGGCUUCGGCCUGGCGUCGAGUGGCGAACGGGUGAGUAAUGCAUCGGAACGUGCCCAGUAGUGGGGGAUAGCCCGGCGAAAGCCGGAUUAAUACCGCAUACGACCUGAGGGUGAAAGCGGGGGACCGAAAGGCCUCGCGCUAUUGGAGCGGCCGAUGUCGGAUUAGCUAGUUGGUGGGGUAAAGGCUUACCAAGGCGACGAUCCGUAGCUGGUCUGAGAGGACGACCAGCCACACUGGGACUGAGACACGGCCCAGACUCCUACGGGAGGCAGCAGUGGGGAAUUUUGGACAAUGGGGGCAACCCUGAUCCAGCCAUGCCGCGUGCGGGAAGAAGGCCUUCGGGUUGUAAACCGCUUUUGUUCGGGAAGAAAUCCUCUGGGCUAAUACCCCGGGGGGAUGACGGUACCGGAAGAAUAAGCACCGGCUAACUACGUG
rnacentral:rRNA from 1 species